rnacentral:misc_RNA from 1 species
GCCAACUACGAGAGAGUACAUCUACGAGCACGAACACGAUUAGGCCGCGCUCGCGACCUCGUCCUUGCCAGCCAGCCAAGAUCGGGGCCGUUACGUUGCCUCGUGUCCGUUUGCUCGUUUCUCCUAGUUCGCUUGCUCGCUCGCUCGCUCGUUCGCCGCGCGCGGUUUCUUUGAAACGAUACGCUUCCGCGGCAUGGAAUGCGUUGACCUUUUCGUGGUCCACGGCUUUGUGGCCGGGCUCGCUUCGUCGACGAUUCCGGCGGGUCACGCUCCACGACCAACCGCUUAACGGACGUACGGCCUGUUAUGCAAAGCAUUCGCGGAUACUUCCGUGGGAGGCGAAGAUCGAUAGAAAGCCGGUCGUCGUGGGAUUUAAAGGCCCGUAAUUGAUUUCCUGCCGGUGGUCGCUGGAAUUCCAGGCUGCACGCGCCCUUUACCCUUUCAACGGUGCUCAGGGUUCAGCCUACGCGUGCCUGGGCGUGGCGAGGAAUCCUUGCGGUUGAAAUCCCGCGGAAGAUGCCUGUCGAAGGUCAAACGAUGUCCGUCCGCUCGUCUAUUCUCACUGUGAAAGACAAUCGCGUUUCAAAGUGCGCCAAUGGCAGCCGAAUGAACACCCAGCAAUAUUGAUCAGCUGAACUGGUGUACUGAACUUUGACAUUUGAUAGAGCCCGGCGAAAGCGGUUGCAUGUACUCCGCUAGAGCGUUGGCAGUUUCGUUUUGUACGGAGAUUUAGAUCGUAGUGAUGGAGACGCAAGGGUUGUUCUUUAACCAUGCGAAGGUCGAGGUUGAUCCCACUGAUACAUACGAAAUAUUGUAAUAAAUAUUUUUGAAUGACCUCGUAAAGCUUGCUGAUGAAGAGCGGCUGGUGUAUGAUACAUCUUUAUGUGCUCAUUUCUCGAGGCUAGGCAUAAUACAAGUACUAUACUUCUGUGUUAAGGAUAUAGCGAAUCUUCUGUUAAUUUUGUUAUUAAAUCGAAGUUCGUAUUAAAAGUAUCAACAAUAAUUUUCUUUGUUUCAGUAGAGUUUUGUGACAAAAUUUUCUAAGGCAACCGCAGUCUGAGUUAAUUCCUUUGUUUACGUUCUUCGUGCCUAUGGUAGAUUUACUGAUUCCAAAGUCUCGGAUUGUAGCGUAUAGUUUCACCGUUUAGAAGCCAUACUAAUUAAGCCAUACUAAUAAUGAAUAGUAGAGGAACGUGAUGACACUACGUUACAAGUACUUUUUAAUAUUUUAA